UACGUAGGUGGCAAGCGUUGUCCGGAAUUAUUGGGCGUAAAGCGCGCGCAGGCGGUCCUUUAAGUCUGAUGUGAAAGCCCACGGCUCAACCGUGGAGGGUCAUUGGAAACUGGGGGACUUGAGUGCAGGAGAGAAGAGUGGAAUUCCACGUGUAGCGGUGAAAUGCGUAGAGAUCCGGAAGAACACCGGAGGCGAAGGCGGCUUGCUGGGCUUGGUCUGACGCUGAGGCGCGAAAGCGUGGGGAGCGAACAGG
rnacentral:rRNA from 1 species